rnacentral:rRNA from 1 species
UACGUAGGGGGCAAGCGUUGUCCGGAAUCAUUGGGCGUAAAGGGCGCGUAGGCGGCUUGUAUAGUCGGAUGUGAAAUUCCUGGGCUUAACCUGGGGGCUGCAUACGAGACGUAUGGGCUUGAGUGCGGAAGAGGGUCGUGGAAUUCCCAGUGUAGAGGUGAAAUUCGUAGAUAUUGGGAAGAACACCGAUGGCGAAGGCGGCGACCUGGUCCGUGACUGACGCUGAGGCGCGAAAGCGUGGGGAGCAAACAGG